GUGGGGAAUUUUGGACAAUGGGCGCAAGCCUGAUCCAGCAAUGCCGCGUGCAGGAAGAAGGCCCUCGGGUUGUAAACUGCUUUUGUACGGAACGAAAAGCCUGGGGCUAAUAUCCCCGGGUCAUGACGGUACCGUAAGAAUAAGCACCGGCUAACUACGUGCCAGCAGCCGCGGUAAUACGUAGGGUGCAAGCGUUAAUCGGAAUUACUGGGCGUAAAGCGUGCGCAGGCGGUUUUGUAAGACAGGCGUGAAAUCCCCGGGCUCAACCUGGGAAUUGCGCUUGUGACUGCAAGGCUGGAGUGCGGCAGAGGGGGAUGGAAUUCCGCGUGUAGCAGUGAAAUGCGUAGAUAUGCGGAGGAACACCGAUGGCGAAGGCAAUCCCCUGGGCCUGCACUGACGCUCAUGCACGAAAGCGUGGGGAGCAAACAGGAUUAGAUACCCCGGUAGUCC
rnacentral:rRNA from 1 species